rnacentral:rRNA from 1 species
CUCAAAUCAGGUAGGACUACCCGCUGAACUUAAGCAUAUCAAUAAGCGGAGGAAAAGAAACUAACAAGGAUUCCCCUAGUAACUGCGAGUGAAGCGGGAAAAGCUCAAAUUUAAAAUCUGGUAGUCUUUGGCUGCCCGAGUUGUAAUCUAGA